CUUACCCAUCCUACCAGUUCCCAUGGCCACUUGGUCAGUGCAAAUGCAAAUGGAAAAAGCGGUUUUGUGGGAGAGUAGGUAGUAGAACGGAUUAGAAGUGGACUGUUCUUAUAACUACGUUUCUGUAACUACUUGGUCGGAAAGAGGCUAAUGCUGUGUUCCAGGCA